rnacentral:rRNA from 1 species
UAGGGAAUAUUAGUAAUGGGCGAAAGCCUGAACUAGCAACGCCGCGUGUGCGAAGAAGGCCUUCGGGUUGUAAAGCACUUUUUGAGAGGAUGAGGAAGGACGGUACUCUCAGAAUAAGUCUCGGCUAACUACGUGCCAGCAGCCGCGGUAACACGUAGGAGGCAAACGUUAUCCGGAUUUACUGGGCGUAAAGCGCGUGUAGGUGGUUUGGUAAGUAGGGCGUGAAAGCUCCCGGCUCAACUGGGAGAGGCCGUUCUAAACUGCCGAACUAGAGGAUGGUAGAGGGAGGUGGAAUUCCGGGUGUAGCGGUGGAAUGCGCAGAUAUCCGGAGGAACACCAGUGGCGAAAGCGGCCUCCUGGACCAUUCCUGACACUCAGACGCGAAAGCUAGGGUAGCAAGCGG